rnacentral:rRNA from 1 species
CCAGCGCAGCCGCGGUAAUACGAGGGGUGCUAGCGUUGUUCGGAAUUACUGGGCGUAAAGAGCAUGUAGGCGGAUGAAUUAGUCAGAGGUGAAAGCCCCGAGCUCAACUUGGGAACUGCCUUUGAUACUGUUUAUCUAGAGUCCGAGAGAGGUUAGUGGAAUUCCCAGUGUAGAGGUGAAAUUCGUAGAUAUUGGGAAGAACACCAGUGGCGAAGGCGGCUAACUGGCUCGGUACUGACGCUGAGGUGCGAAAGUGUGGGGAGCAAACAGGAUUAGAUA